rnacentral:rRNA from 1 species
GAUGAACGCUGGCGGCGUGCCUAAUACAUGCAAGUCGAGCGAACAGACGAGGAGCUUGCUCCUCUGACGUUAGCGGCGGACGGGUGAGUAACACGUGGAUAACCUACCUAUAAGACUGGGAUAACUUCGGGAACCCGGAGCUAAUACCGGCUGAUAUAUUGAACCGCAUGGUUCAAUAGUGAAAGACGGUUUUGCUGUCACUUAUAGAUGGAUCCGCGCCGCAUUAGCUAGUUGGUAAGGUAACGGCUUACCAAGGCGACGCUGCGUAGCCGACCUGUGAGGGUGAUCGGCCACACUGGAACUGAGACACGGUCCAGACUCCUACGGGAGGCAGCAGUAGGGAAUCUUCCGCAAUGGGCGAAAGCCUGACGGAGCAACGCCGCGUGAGUGAUGAAGGUCUUCGGAUCGUAAAACUCUGUUAUUAGGGAAGAACAAAUGUGUAAGUAACUAUGCACGUCUUGACGGUACCUAAUCAGAAAGCCACGGCUAACUACGUG